rnacentral:lncRNA from 1 species
CGAUGGAAACAGUGGUUAAUGAGCGCUGGUUAUCGCUGGCAGAUUUGAGCAGAAUAAUUGGACGAUGCUCGCGUUUAGUCAAGGAGUGCAUGGCUAUGUUUGAAUUGUUGCUAGUAAUUUAUUUCUGCGUUGCAUGGACCGAGCUCUAGACUUUCCGAUGAAUCUUGCAAAUCCACCUUUUUCUUUUCUUUGAGGGAUCUUGCAAAUCCACCUUUGUAAAACAAGGAAGAACACCCAUUUAGCAAGGGGGUCUAUCGACAAAAUUCAAACCUACUCUUGCACGAUCACAU